UCAGGAUGAACGCUGGCUACAGGCUUAACACAUGCAAGUUCGAGGGGAAAACGACGGGGAAGCUUGCUUUUUCGGGCGUCGACCGGCGCACGGGUCGAGUAACGCGUAUCCAACUCCGCCUCUGACUGAGGGAUAACCCCGUCGAAAGUCGGCCUAAUACCUCAUGGCAUCGUCUGCGGGCAUCCAACGACGAUUAAAGAUUUCAUCGGUCAGGGAUGGGGAUGCGUCUGAUUAGUUAGUUGGCGGGGUAACGGCCCACCAAGGCUACGAUCAGUAGGGGUUCUGAGAGGAAGGUCCCCCACAUUGGAACUGAGACACGGUCCAAACUCCUACGGGAGGCAGCAGUGAGGAAUAUUGGUCAAUGGGCGGGAGCCUGAACCAGCCAAGUAGCGUGCAGGAUGACGGCCCUAUGGGUUGUAAACUGCUUUUAUGCGGGGAUAAAGUGAGGGACGUGUCCUUCAUUGCAGGUACCGCAUGAAUAAGGACCGGCUAAUUCCGUGCCAGCAGCCGCGGUAAUACGGAAGGUCCGGGCGUUAUCCGGAUUUAUUGGGUUUAAAGGGAGCGUAGGCCGUGGAUUAAGCGUGUUGUGAAAUGCAGGUGCUCAACGUCUGCACUGCAGCGCGAACUGGUUCACUUGAGUGUGCGCAACGCAGGCGGAAUUCGUCGUGUAGCGGUGAAAUGCUUAGAUAUGACGAAGAGCUCCGAUUGCGAAGGCAGCUUGCGGGAGCACAACUGACGCUGAAGCUCGAAAGUGCGGGUAUCGAACAGGAUUAGAUACCCUGGUAGUCCGCACGGUAAACGAUGGAUGCCCGUUGUCAGGCUGUUUCAGCCUGGUGACCAAGCGAAAGCAUUAAGCAUCCCACCUGGAGAGUACGCCGGCAACGGUGAAACUCAAAGGAAUUGACGGGGGCCCGCACAAGCGGAGGAACAUGUGGUUUAAUUCGAUGAUACGCGAGGAACCUUACCCGGGCUUGAAUUGCAGACGAAGGCUUCAGAGAUGAAGAGUCCCUUCGGGGCGUCUGUGAAGGUGCUGCAUGGUUGUCGUCAGCUCGUGCCGUGAGGUGUCGGCUUAAGUGCCAUAACGAGCGCAACCCCUUUCUUCAGUUGCCAUCAGGUGAUGCUGGGCACUCUGUAGACACUGCCACCGCAAGGUGUGAGGAAGGUGGGGAUGACGUCAAAAUCAGCACGGCCCUUACGUCCGGGGCUACACACGUGUUACGAAUGGCCGGUACAGAGAGUUGAUUUUGUGCAAACACGAUCUAAUCCUUAAAUCCGGUCCCGGUUUCGGACUGGGGGUCUGCGACCCGACCCCCGCGAAAGCUGGAUUUCGCUAGUAAUCGCGCGUUCGGCCCGUGGCGCGGUGAAAUACGUUUCCCGGGCCUUGUACACCUCGCCCGU
rnacentral:rRNA from 1 species